GACGAACGCUGGCGGCGUGCUUAACACAUGCAAGUCGAACGGAAAGGCCCUGCGUUUGUGGGGUGCUCGAGUGGCGAACGCGUGAGUAACACGUGAGUAACCUGCCCUUGACUUUGGGAUAACUUCAGGAAACUGGGGCUAAUAUCGUAUAGGAUCUCCUGCUGCAUUGUGGGGGUUGGAAAGUUUCGGCGGUUGGGGAUGGACUCGCGGCUUAUGAGCUUGUUGGUGGGGUAGUGGCUUACCAAGGCUUUGACGGGUAGCCGGCCUGAGAGGGUGAACGGCCACAAUGGGACUGAGAUACGGCGCAGACUCCUACGGGAGGCAGCAGUGGGGAAUAUUGCACAAUGGGAGGAAGCCGGAUGCAGCAACGCCGCGUGCGGGAUGACGGCCUUCGGGGUGUAAACCGCUUUCGCCUGUGACGAAGCGUGAGUGACGGUAAUGGGUAAAGAAGCACCGGCUAACUACGUG
rnacentral:rRNA from 1 species